CAGCAGGCGCGAAAACUUUACAAUGCCGGCAACGGCGAUAAGGGAACCUCGAGUGCCAGGUUACAAAUCUGGCUGUCGUGAUGCCUAAAAAGCAUUGCAUAGCAAGGGCCGGGCAAGACCGGUGCCAGCCGCCGCGGUAACACCGGCGGCUCGAGUGGUAACCGUUAUUAUUGGGUCUAAAGGGUCUGUAGCCGGCCGGGUAAGUCUCUUGGGAAAUCUGGCAGCUUAACUGUCAGGCUUUCAGGAGAUACUGCCUGGCUCGAGGCCGGGAGAGGUGAGAGGUACUUCAGGGGUAGGGGCGAAAUCUUGUAAUCCUUGAAGGACCACCAGUGGCGAAGGCGUCUCACCAGAACGGACCUGACGGCAAGGGACGAAAGCUAGGGGCACGAACCGGAUUAGAUACCCGGGUAGUCCUAGCCGUAAACGAUACUCGCUAGGUGUCGGCCACGGUGCGACCGUGGUCGGUGCCGUAGGGAAGCCGUGAAGCGAGCCACCUGGGAAGUACGGCCGCAAGGCUGAAACUUAAAGGAAUUGGCGGGG
rnacentral:rRNA from 1 species